CAAGAUCUUCUUAUGCAUCAGUGAGCCUAAUAUUGUUUCUUAUAACACAAUGAUCAGCGGGUUUUCCUAUAACGGUUUCGGGAAGAAAGCUCUAGAGUUGUUUUCCAUAUUGGAAAGUACAGAAAAAGAGCCAAAUGGUGUUACCUUUCUUGCUGUAUUAUCUGCUUGUGUUCAUGUUGGAUACGUAGACUUAGGAUGGAAAUACUUCAAAUCAAUGAAAUUCUCGUACGGCAUUGAACCCGGACCUGAUCAUUAUGCAUGCAUGGUUGAUCUCCUUGGCAGAAGUGGAUUACUUGAUGAAGCAUAUAACUUGAUCUCUUCAAUGCCUUGUGAGCCUCAUUCCGGGGUUUGGGGCAGCUUGCUUGGUGCCAGCAAAACUUAUUUACAUGUCGAUCUAGCAGAGCUUGCUGCUAAGAAACAAAUCGAACUCGAGCCUGAUAGUGCAACACCUUAUGUGGUAUUGUCCCAGCUGUAUUCAAUUGUUGGGCAAAACGGAGACUGUGAUCGGAUAAGGAACAUCAAGAAAUCGAAAAGAAUAAAGAAGGAUCCUGGGUCUAGCUGGAUCAUCUUACAGGGCCAAGUACAUAAUUUUCUUUCAGGAGAUGAAUCUCAUCUGAAUCUUGAAGAGAUAGCUUUCACACUGAAGAUGAUUGGAAAGGAAAUGGAGUUGAUUUGUGUCAGCCAUUGAAGUUGUUUUCAGUGAAGCAACAUGCAAGCACGUUGAGUUUUACUUCAUCAAACAGAGAGCAAGAAGCUCACUUGGGUCACCUUGUAAAACCGAAUGUCUCGCAACUCCUGUCCUCCUACCACUAACCAGAAAAUGAACUUAAAGUGGUGCAAGAGGUUUUGUUCCAUCUCUGAGCCAAGCUCUGUUAUUGAGAGAGAUCAUGGAAGUUUAUGGUAUUAUUGUGGUAGCCUGCGUUUUCAUUGUUUUGAUUGGUAUAAACUUAUUAUUAUGUGAUUGGUCGGGGAAGAAGAAGAAGACUGCUAGUAAUGAGACUGCUGAAAACCCCAACAACCCUAGAAGCUGGACUGUUACAAGCAAUGGUAAUGUAGCAGCUAGAAGCGUAAAAGACAAGAAACUUAGGAUCUGCAGAACCUUUAGUAGCUUGUCGAUAAUUCUUGUUUGAACAGAGAAUUCGAACAAGAGUUUGAAAAAGUAAUUCUCUUUUAUUAAUC